GACAGAGGGGGCAAGCGUUGCUCGGAAUCACUGGGCGUAAAGGGCGCGUAGGCGGGAUGGCAAGUCGGUCGUGAAAUCUCUCGGCUCAACCGAGAAACGUCGGCCGAUACUGCCGUUCUUGAGGGAUGCAGAGGAGACUGGAAUUCCCGGUGUAGCGGUGAAAUGUGUAGAGAUCGGGAGGAACACCGGUGGCGAAGGCGGGUCUCUGGGACGGUACUGACGCUGAGACGCGAAAGCGUGGGGAGCGAACAGG
rnacentral:rRNA from 1 species